GCGCGUGAGGACUUCGGCGCGCGCCGGAAGCACGUGCGCGGGCUGGGCGCUCUGGCGGUGUGCGCUGAGGCUCCUGAGUAUAACAGAUUGGUUCUGAUUAAAACCAUUUCAGAGGAAAGACAGUGAUCCCAGGAAGCGGGAAGAAAACAGCAUCACCUGAAGUUAUUCCUAUUCGUUAGAUUUGUUUUCUUCCUGCGAAAAACUGCUAUGUACAAGAAAGAAGUCAGUGAGCUGCAGUGAUAGUUAGCAUUAUUGACUGAAACUGGACCAGAGAUCCCUGAAACCUGGACAAGGUGGUAGAAAUACAAAUUAUGCUGCCAUUUCAAAGCUG
rnacentral:lncRNA from 1 species